UAGAUAUUAGUCAAAGGAUAGAAAAAUUAAAGGUGCUAAUGCUGCCUAUUUACAAAUUAUGCUUCUAUUUACUUUGUAAGGCUAUAAAUAAGGAAAAAAAGGUAGAUUAGAAAAAUAAAAUAUAUAAGCAUAUGUAGGGAGGAGUUAGGAGUGCAAAUUAGUAAAAAUUACCUCAAGAAGAUGAAAGUUGAUAUCCGAAGAGGACCGGUUAUGAACCUGGGUCGAAAUCAGACCCCGAGGCACAAAACCAUGCUUUGAUGGCGACUCAAGGUUCUUUUGGAGAUUGAAGAAUGAGAUUUGAUAGCAGACUAAAUAGAUUUUCUAUGAAUGUUGAUUUUGGAUGAUUUGGAGUUGAUAUGACUUUGUAAGAGCUUUGCAAAGUUGAGGUUUGUUUCAGAUGACUUGGGUUUUAUGAAAUAAAAUAGGGUUUACGUUUUGGAUGAUUUCAAGAGUAUUGUAAUAGAUCUAUAGGUAAAAUUUUGUGAGUUUAUGGUUAUAGUUGUGUUUAAUAUGUAUCGUGAAUUUGAGCUUAAUCUAACGGUUGAAUUGAGGAAUAUUGAGGUUUAAGUGG
rnacentral:lncRNA from 1 species